UACGUAGGGUGCAAGCGUUGUCCGGAAUUAUUGGGCGUAAAGAGCUCGUAGGCGGUUUGUCGCGUCGGCUGUGAAAACUCGGGGCUCAACCCCGAGCCUGCAGUCGAUACGGGCAAACUAGAGUGUGGUAGGGGAGACUGGAAUUCCUGGUGUAGCGGUGGAAUGCGCAGAUAUCAGGAGGAACACCGAUGGCGAAGGCAGGUCUCUGGGCCACUACUGACGCUGAGAAGCGAAAGCAUGGGGAGCGAACAGG
rnacentral:rRNA from 1 species